rnacentral:rRNA from 1 species
GAUGAACGCUGGCGGCGUGCCUAAUACAUGCAAGUCGAGCGAACAGACGAGGAGCUUGCUCCUCUGACGUUAGCGGCGGACGGGUGAGUAACACGUGGAUAACCUACCUAUAAGACUGGGAUAACUUCGGGAAACCGGAGCUAAUACCGGAUAAUAUAUUGAACCGCAUGGUUCAAUAGUGAAAGGCGGUUUUGCUGUCACUUAUAGAUGGAUCCGCGCCGCAUUAGCUAGUUGGUAAGGUAACGGCUUACCAAGGCAACGAUGCGUAGCCGACCUGAGAGGGUGAUCGGCCACACUGGAACUGAGACACGGUCCAGACUCCUACGGGAGGCAGCAGUAGGGAAUCUUCCGCAAUGGGCGAAAGCUUGACGGAGUAACGCCGCGUGAGUGAUGAAGGUCUUCGGAUCGUAAAACUCUGUUAUUAGGGAAGAACAAAUGUGUAAGUAACUAUGCACGUCUUGACGGUACCUAAUCAGAAAGCCACGGCUAACUACGUG